ensembl:lncRNA
UGGUGUCCAUUGAGGACUGGGAGGCGUGGUCCAACUUCACUGGCAGCACGGAGAAGAUCCAGGUGGUGGGUGAUGACCUCACAGUGACCAAGGCCUGCAACUGCCUGCUGCUUAAAGUCAACAAGAUCGGCUCUGUGACGGAGUCUCUGGCCACGUGCAAGAUGGCCCAGUCCAGUGGUUGGGGAGUGAUGGUCGGCCAUCGCUCUGGGGAGACUGAGGACACCUUCAUUGCUGAUCUGGUGGUGGGCCUGUGCACUGGACAGGUUUGGGGCUGCCCAAAGGAAUCAUUGUUAUCAUGGAUUUUAAAUUAUAUUUGUUACAUUACAUUAUUGCUAUGUAAUUAAUGUUGCCCCUGUCUGUUUGUCCAAACUGGGGCUCCUUGCUGCUCUGAACGUCUGGCCAAGUACAACCAGAUUCUCAGUUUCCUCUCAGAACUGAAGAGGAAUUGGGAGACAAGGCUGUCUUUGCUGGGAAGAACUUCAGGAACCCGCUGGCUUAACUGAGUGCAAUGGGCACAUACUCAUUGGCAUAUAGGCACACACUUGCACAUAACAGUUUAGCAAACAUUCCAAUGAUUACUUGCAAAUGCUGAAGAAGUUUACGGAACAAACUGAGUUACACACACGUCAAGGCAGCUAGAAAGGUAUAUGAAGUUACACUUCAUGACCAUAGGUUUUGGUUACAUGCAUACAUUACCUACCCUAGUCUACAUGUAUUCUGCUGCCCUAGAAUCACAAGGUGUCUGUGUAGACUAGUUACUUACAAUUCUUUGUUGGGGGGGGCACAUUUGGAUUAGUGUGAGUUGCUAUUAUUACUAUUUAAAUAUAGAGCAAAAAUAAC